GGAUGGCUUAGUGGUUAUAGCUUCCGCCUCUGAUGCGAGAGGUCGCGGGUUCGAAUCCCGGUAGAGUCA